rnacentral:misc_RNA from 1 species
UACGAGGGGUGCAAGCGUUAAUCGGAAUUACUGGGCGUAAAGCGUUCGUAGGCGGUCUAUUAAGCAAGAUGUGAAAGCCCAGGGCUCAACCUUGGAACUGCAUUUUGAACUGGUAGACUAGAGUACUGUAGAGGGUGGUGGGAUUUCCAGUGUAGCGGUGAAAUGCGUAGAGAUUGGAAGGAACAUCAGUGGCGAAGGCGGCCACCUGGACAGAUACUGACGCUGAGGAACGAAAGCGUGGGGAGCGAACAGG